rnacentral:rRNA from 1 species
GACGAACGCUGGCGGCGUGCUUAACACAUGCAAGUCGAACGCUGAAGACCUGGCUUUUGUUGGGUUGGAUGAGUGGCGAACGGGUGAGUAACACGUGAGUAACCUGCCCUCUUCUUUGGGAUAACGCCCGGAAACGGGUGCUAAUACUGGAUAUUCACUGAUCUUCGCAUGGGGGUUGGUGGAAAGGGUUGUUCUGGUGGGGGAUGGGCUCGCGGCCUAUCAGCUUGUUGGUGGGGUGAUGGCCUACCAAGGCUUUGACGGGUAGCCGGCCUGAGAGGGUGACCGGUCACAUUGGGACUGGGAUACGGCCCAGACUCCUGCGGGAGGCAGCAGUGGGGAACAUUGCACAAUGGGCGAAAGCCUGAUGCAGCGACGCCGCGUGAGGGAUGGCGGCCUUCGGGUUGUAAACCUCUUUCGCUCAUGGUCAAGCCGCAACUGUGGGUUGUGGUGAGGGUAGUGGGUAAAGAAGCGCCGGCUAACUACGUG